rnacentral:rRNA from 1 species
CUACGGGGUGCAGCAGUGGGGAAUAUUGCACAAUGGAGGAAACCCUGAUGCAGCAACGCCGCGUGGAGGAUGACGCAUUUCGGUGUGUAAACUCCUUUUAUAUGUCAAGAAAAUGACGGUAGCAUAUGAAUAAGCACCGGCUAACUCCGUGCCAGCAGCCGCGGUAUACGGAGGGUGCAAGCGUUACUCGGAAUCACUGGGCGUAAAGGACGCGUAGGCGGGUUGGAAAGUCAGGUGUGAAAUCCUACAGCUUAACUGUAGAACUGCACUUGAAACUUCUAAUCUAGAGUAUGGGAGGGGGAGAUGGAAUUAGUGGUGUAGGGGUAAAAUCCGUAGAUAUCACUAGGAAUACCUAAAGCGAAGGCGACCUCCUGGACAAUUACUGACGCUAAGGCGCGAAAGCGUGGGGAGCGAACAGGAUUAGAUACCCCCGUAGUC